GAUCAUGGCUCAGGAUGAACGCUAGCUACAGGCUUAACACAUGCAAGGUCAGGGGAACGAUAUUGGAAGCUUGCUUCCGAUAGGCCGUCGACCGGCGCACGGGUGAGUAACGCGUAUCCAACCUGCCCACCACUUGGGGAUAACCUUGCGAAAGUAAGACUAAUACCCAAUGACGUCUCUAGAAGACAUCUGAAAGAGAUUAAAGAUUUAUCGGUGAUGGAUGGGGAUGCGUCUGAUUAGCUGUUGGCGGGGUAACGGCCCACCAAGGCGACGAUCAGUAGGGGGUUCUGAGAGGAAGGUCCCCCCACAUUGGAACUGAGACACGGUCCAAACUCCUACGGGAGGCAGCAGUGAGGAAUAUUGGUCAAUGGGCGAGAGCCUGAACCAGCCAAGUAGCGUGCAGGAAGACGGCCCUAUGGGUUGUAAACUGCUUUUAUAAGGGAAUAAAGUUAGUCUCGUGAGACUUUUUGCAUGUACCUUAUGAAUAAGGACCGGCUAAUUCCGUG
rnacentral:rRNA from 1 species